rnacentral:rRNA from 1 species
AGCGAACGCUGGCGGCAGGCUUAACACAUGCAAGUCGAGCGCCCCGCAAGGGGAGCGGCAGACGGGAGAGUAACACGUGGGAACAUACCUUUUGGUUCGGAACAACUGAGGGAAACUUCAGCUAAUACCGGAUAUGCCCUUACGGGGAAAGAUUUAUCGCCGAAAGAUUGGCCCGCGUCUGAUUAGCUAGUUGGUGAGGUAACGGCUCACCAAGGCGACGAUCAGUAGCUGGUCUGAGAGGAUGAUCAGCCUCACUGGGACUGAGACACGGCCCAGACUCCUACGGGAGGCAGCAGUGGGGAAUAUUGGACAAUGGGGGCAACCCUGAUCCAGCCAUGCCGCGUGAGUGAUGAAGGCCUUAGGGUUGUAAAGCUCUUUUGCCCGGGAAGAUAAUGACGGUACCGGGAGAAUAAGCCCCGGCUAACUUCGUG